rnacentral:rRNA from 1 species
GACGAACGCUGGCGGCGUGCUUAACACAUGCAAGUCGAACGGAAAGGCCCCUUUUGGGGUCCUCGAGGGGCGUACGGGGGGGUAACACGUGCGUAACCUCCCCUUAACUUCGGGAUAACUUCAGGAAACUGGGGCAAAUACCGGGUAGGAAUCCUUUCUCCAUGUUGGGUGGGGGAAAGUUUGGGCGGUUUUGUAGGGACUCGCGGCUCAACCGCUUGUUGGUGGGGUAGCGGGUUACCAAGGCUGUGCCGGGGAGCCGGCCUGGGAGGGCGACCGGCAACAUUGGGACUGGGAUACGGCCCAGACCCCGACGGGAGGGAGAAGUGGGGAAUAUUGCACAAGGGGCGGAGGCCUGAUGCAGAAACGCCGCGGGCGGGAUGACGGCCUUCGGGUUGUAAUCCGCAUUCAGCAGGGGCGGAGCUGGUGGUGACGGUACCUGGAGAAGAAGCACCGGCUAACUCCGUG